rnacentral:rRNA from 1 species
GACGAACGCUGGCGGCGUGCUUAACACAUGCAAGUCGAACGGAAAGGCCCUGCUUUUGUGGGGUGCUCGAGUGGCGAACGGGUGAGUAACACGUGAGUAACCUGCCCUUGACUUUGGGAUAACUUCAGGAAACUGGGGCUAAUACCGGAUAGGAGCUCCCGCUGCAUGGUGGGGGUUGGAAAGUUUCGGCGGUUGGGGAUGGACUCGCGGCUUAUCAGCUUGUUGGUGGGGUAGUGGCUUACCAAGGCUUUGACGGGUAGCCGGCCUGAGAGGGUGACCGGCCACAUUGGGACUGAGAUACGGCCCAGACUCCUACGGGAGGCAGCAGUGGGGAAUAUUGCACAAUGGGCGGAAGCCUGAUGCAGCAACGCCGCGUGCGGGAUGACGGCCUUCGGGUUGUAAACCGCUUUCGCCUAUGACGAAGCGUGAGUGACGGUAAUGGGUAAAGAAGCACCGGCUAACUACGUG